UUUUGUUUUAAGUGGCGACGUUUAAUUUGCUGAAAACGUUAUGUCGUGUUUGCACGAGGUUUUACGGUAAAGGACUCGAGUAGUAUUUUUUUUUCACACAGAAAGGAAAGAGGCUUCAAACGCCACCAGACGCUCAGCAGCAUCUCACCCCAGACAAUGGGCAAAGCUAACUGCACUGUAACUUAAAAUAGUGCGGUUCGUUAUUGUGGAAAAACGCGGAGUUGCUGUUACAGAAGGAGAUCCUGCUUUGAUUUGGCUGUGAGGACAAAACACGAGUCAGCUGCAAGGCCAAACCAGAGUCUAAGAUGCCCUGAGAGGGAGAAGAGAAAUGUAAAUGGCUUCCAAAGUAAAAGAUGCUGUGGUGUGGUACCAGAAAAAGAUUGGCGCCUACGAUCAGCAGAUAUGGGAGAAAUCUGUGGAGCAAAGAGAAAUAAAGGUCU